GAUGAACGCUGGCGGCGUGCCUAAUACAUGCAAGUCGAGCGAACGGACGGGAAGCUUGCUUCUCUGAUGUUAGCGGCGGACGGGUGAGUAACACGUGGAUAACCUACCUAUAAGACUGGGAUAACUUCGGGAAACCGGAGCUAAUACCGGAUAAUAUUUUGAACCGCAUGGUUCAAAAGUGAAAGACGGUCUUGCUGUCACUUAUAGAUGGAUCCGCGCUGCAUUAGCUAGUUGGUAAGGUAACGGCUUACCAAGGCAACGAUGCAUAGCCGACCUGAGAGGGUGAUCGGCCACACUGGAACUGAGACACGGUCCAGACUCCUACGGGAGGCAGCAGUAGGGAAUCUUCCGCAAUGGGCGAAAGCCUGACGGAGCAACGCCGCGUGAGUGAUGAAGGUCUUCGGAUCGUAAAACUCUGUUAUUAGGGAAGAACAUAUGUGUAAGUAACUGUGCACAUCUUGACGGUACCUAAUCAGAAAGCCACGGCUAACUAAGUG
rnacentral:rRNA from 1 species